rnacentral:rRNA from 1 species
CCAAGGCGACGACGGGUAGCCGGCCUGAGAGGGUGACCGGCCACACUGGGACUGAGACACGGCCCAGACUCCUACGGGAGGCAGCAGUGGGGAAUAUUGCACAAUGGGCGCAAGCCUGAUGCAGCGACGCCGCGUGAGGGAUGAAGGCCUUCGGGUUGUAAACCUCUUUCAGUAGGGAAGAAGCCGGCCUUUGGGUUGGUGACGGUACCUGCAGAAGAAGCGCCGGCUAACUACGUGCCAGCAGCCGCGGUAAUACGUAGGGCGCAAGCGUUAUCCGGGAAUUAUUGGGCGUAAAGAGCUCGUAGGCGGUUUGUCGCGUCUGCCGUGAAAGUCCGGGGCUUAACCCCGGAUCUGCGGUGGGUACGGGCAGACUAGAGUGCAGUAGGGGAGACUGGAAUUCCUGGUGUAGCGGUGAAAUGCGCAGAUAUCAGGAGGAACACCGAUGGCGAAGGCAGGUCUCUGGGCUGUAACUGACGCUGAGGAGCGAAAGCAUGGGGAGCGAACAGGAUUAGAUACCCUGGUAGUCCAUGCCGUAAACGUUGGGCACUAGGUGUGGGGGACAUUCCACGUUUUCCGCGCCGUAGCUAACGCAUUAAGUGCCCCGCCUGGGGAGUACGGCCGCAAGGCUAAAACUCAAAGGAAUUGACGGGGGCCCGCACAAGCGGCGGAGCAUGCGGAUUAAUUCGAUGCAACGCGAAGAACCUUACCAAGGCUUGACAUGAACCGGAAUGAUGCAGAGAUGUGUCAGCCACUUGUGGCCGGUUUACAGGUGGUGCAUGGUUGUCGUCAGCUCGUGUCGUGAGAUGUUGGGUUAAGUCCCGCAACGAGCGCAACCCUCGUUCCAUGUUGCCAGCGGGUUAUGCCGGGGACUCAUGGGAGACUGCCGGGGUCAACUCGGAGGAAGGUGGGGACGACGUCAAAUCAUCAUGCCCCUUAUGUCUUGGGCUUCACGCAUGCUACAAUGGCCGGUACAAAGGGUUGCGAUACUGUGAGGUGGAGCUAAUCCCAAAAAGCCGGUCUCAGUUCGGAUUGAGGUCUGCAACUCGACCUCAUGAAGUUGGAGUCGCUAGUAAUCGCAGAUCAGCAACGCUGCGGUGAAUACGUUCCCGGGCCUUGUACACACCGCCCGUCAAGUCACGAAAGUUGGUAACACCCGAAGCCGGUGGCCUAACCCCUUGUGGGAGGAGCCG